UGAUGUUUUUGGAGACAAGUACGCUGAUGAGAGAAUGUGGAAGAGGCUUUUGUACAGUGUGCAAGAAAAAUACUUAACAAAAUUGAAUAAGUGGGCCCAGUGAGCUGCAGGAGGAUGCAGGGACUGCAGGGCUGUCACAGGCACUGACGGAGCAGGGUUUCCCUCCUGGUGGUGCUGACCUGUCUGACUGCCGAGAGCCGAUCAGAAGCGCCGCCUCCCUGUCUGCCGAGCCUGAGGUCCAGUCUGUUCUGGAUGGAGCAGGGCCCUGAGCUGAGGCCACACCCUGAGAACUCAGAACUGAGGGAGCAGAUGGAGGAAGGGGAGCCGGCAGGUUGGGGGAUGAGAAUGACCGAAACAAGGACACGGGAACGGUGGUGCAGGUGGACACUCACGGGGUGAGAAUGAGGACAAAUUGGGUUUAGAGAUCAGGAGUCACUGAGAGACGCCUGUCAUCACCCAAACCCUCCAGGGCCAGCCUGAACAGAGCAGUGGGGAUGGGAGAGGAGCUCAGGGCACUGGGGUCCUAGGCACCUGGCCAAGGACACCCACAGGCUGGACUCAGAGCUGGUUCACACUGAGGGAAGCACCAACCCCAAGAGGAGGAAGAAGUGACCGUGAGACCCUGCCCAGCUCCAGCAGCCUCGUCCUUGGGGCUGCCCUGGCAGUGGACGCCCUCCAGGUCAGGGUGGGCUGAGCAGGAGAAGGGUGGACAUGCUGCUCUAGGCCAGUGACCCGGGGACAGGGGACCCUUGCACAUGAAGUAGUGACACUUGGCUAUUCUCUGUGCCUUUCAGUUGAGAAAGGUCUGGUGGCAGCCCAGGGAACGGGCGGAGAGGUCACAGACACGUCAUCCCCAUGACGCAGUGAACAGGAAGGGAAUUCCUGAGAGCAGUCCCGGUGUCACCAGACCCCCACAGGGGACUGUCCCUGAGUUCUGAUACUGUAGGGCAGGGGUCUCUCUACAGAAGGAGACGUGCAGCUCCCUGGCAGGAAGGAGGGUGUCUCUCACAGAACACUCAGGGAAGGAGUGUAGACGGGGUGCUGGAGUCAGAAACCACUUUUAUUCAGUCACUGACGACCACUGCGGGGAGCCCCCUGGUGCCGGGCCUGAGUGGGAACCGUGAACACGGAGUUGGUGAAACCGUGUCCCAGCAUCCACGGAGCUCUCAGACCGCAGCUGGUGGGCCCUGGGUGACAACACUCCUGACCUCCCGGGACACCACCAGCAUCUGCCUCCAGGUCGUGUCAAGGUCAACAGAGCCAAGGUCUCCAGGGGGAGCUGCUGACUCCGUCAUGGCCACCUGGAGACACCAUGAGGCCAGUUUAGUGGGACCCUUAAGUCCAUGUCUGCCAGAAAGGUGACGCUGGUCCCUGUUCUUGUGGGUAAUUACAUGUUUCCAUACCUUCCUAAUCUCCCAUCGCAUCAAAAUUAAUUAAACGAUGACUCUAUUUUUAGAAUUUCAGUAGCUCAUAAUUUACUCUCAGAUCUCGCAGUAAAGAACGAGUGUGGAGGGAAUAAAGCUGUUUCCGUGUUUGCAGGGAACACGCAGGGACUGGGGCUGGACUGGCUUUCUGCAUUCACAGGCUCGGGGAACAUCGUGACUCUUGUGCUCAGAGACACAGAAAUGUCCCACACCCUUGUUUCACUGUCUGUCCACCCUGUCCCUGUGUGAAAAAUCCGACAUCUGUGCUCACCUAGGGACGCUGAGCUAAGUCAGUUGAGCUCAGCGAGGGCAGUUCCUGAUCCCUGUGGGUAGUGUCCUGUGCUCGUCACACUGGGGGGCAGAGGACAGGAGCUCCGGUCCCCACUGAAAGGAGCUGAGAGUUGUCUGCUCUGAAUUCAGCCAGGGGUGUGUGUAGGUGGGGAAUCAACAGCUCACCCCCUCGCUCCCCUGCUGAUGAGGAAGAGGAUGAUGAGGAGCAGUGACGGCCCUGGGCUUUAUGCCCCUCCUCCUGAUU